UGUAAUGUGAAACCGUACUUGCAAAGGCACUUCUAUUUUCAUUGCAUCAGCUGGUUGCUCUUCUAGGCCACAUGUGAAAAAUAGAUGGAAAUGGUGCUCACAGGCACCUUCUCCAGCACCAAAGGCAGUUGCUGGUACAGUUUGGGAAACAAGAAAUGUCUUAAUUACUCGAGUGAUGGAUGUCUUGGAAAGCCUAAUGGAGGCAGGAAGAAGUAUGUGUUGAGCUAGAACUUGAGUCCGAGACAAUAGCUGAUCAACAUUUUCUCACUGGUCAAAGAUGCACUAACC